rnacentral:lncRNA from 1 species
CUAGCCUUAGAUAUAAAAUAAGAAGUUAAAGCGUCACCCUCUAAUAGUUCGUUCUCUUUCGAUCUCUGUAACCACAUUAUCUCCUCCUCUUUAUUAAUCUUUGAAAGUUCCUCCUCUAACUUUUUCCUUAACAUGUUUUUUUGAGCAAAAGAGGGUUUCCCCUCCGAUUUCCAUUAUAGAAACCAGGCCGAAGCCACGAGCAGUCUAGAAGUCUUACAAUAAGAAGCGGAACAGAGAGUAAAAGCGAAACCCGCGCAAGGAGUGGCCAGGGACACAGCCCCCACCCCCCGGAUAGUCAGAUCAUUACAAGUUUCCAUCACAAAAGGCUAAACGGAGGAGAAGACAAGUCUAAAGCAAAAGCAGCAGCAAGCUCUUGAAAUGUCGCAGCUUCCCUAAUCCUUCAGCCGCGGAACCCCGAAGCGCCAUCCUUGCGAAGCUUUGAAGAUCUCACUUGCCACCUGCUCGAUGAGUCUUGCCCCCAACGUCAGCGUUCUUUCCCCUGGGCCCUUUUUCUGCAAAAUAGCCCAAUCAGUAAUCCAGCAGCAUAUUCGUUUAACGAUCCCAAUCGGGUCGUUUACUUUUUCUUAUCAAACACAAUGUCAUUGCAAUUCCAAAUCGCCCAAAGCAGAGCAGAAGUGCCAAUCAACACCAAUUUUUUACUCUCUUUGUUAAAAUUGUUUAGCCACCCCCAAAACAGUCGUCAAUGUUUAUGGGAGUUUUCUAAAAGUCAAAUGAACAUCUCACCAGAUUCCAAAUGAUUCUAGCAACCGAAUAGGAGAAGAAAAGAUGAUCAAUGUUUUCCUCCUGUCCACAAAACACACAAUGUUUGUCCCCUUUCCAUCCUCUUUUCAAUAGGGUGUCUCUAGUAAGGAUACUUUUUUUGCUUAGCAACCAAAGAAAGAACUUGAUUUUUGCAGGUACCUUGACUUUCCACAGGAAUUUGUGUGGAAAACCCAUGUCAGUACGAACUAGGUGUCGAUAUAAGGAUUUUACAGUGAAUAUUCUGUUAGCAUUGAGCAUCCACAUGGGCUUGUCUCUGCCCCCGUGCAUUAAUAUGUCCUCACAUCUUCUUUUAAGGCUAUCCCACAGCCCCCCAUAGCCUCCAUCUAUAUUUCUUCUGAAAGACAUAGCAUUCCACCCUUUUUCAAUCACCCCUCUGACGGUAAUUUCUCUGUCAUUGCUAAUUGCAUACAAUGAGGGGUAUGCCUCUUUUAGUGGUUUGUCAUCCACCCACUAAUCUUCCCAGAAUCUGGUAUUUCUCCCAUCCCCUAGUUUUUUUUUAUGCGAGGGAAAACUAAAUUCUUGAUACUUAUCAGGCUAGUCCAGAAUUGCGAGUCCCCCUGUCUUUUUUAAUGCCUGACAAGCAUUUGUUCUGGAUAUAUUUAGAUCUAAUGAUAUCUUGCCAAAGUCCCUCCUCAGCUUCUAGUUUCCAAAUCCAUUUAGCUAGCAAGGCAAUGUUAAAUUUCUCUAGUUGAUUAGCCCGAGACCUCCUUGUUGUUUAGGAAGGCAGCAUGUUUUCCAGUUAACUAAACGAUACUUUUUUUUAUCCUCUUCCGCUUGCCAUACCAGUCUCGCCCUGAAGAAAUCAACUUUUUUCCUGACUCCAACAGGGAGCAGAUAGAAAGACAUCAUGUAUAUAGGAAUAUUUGUUAGGCACGACUGUACUAAUGUGACUCUGCCAGCAAUAUUGAGCAAUCUGCCUUGCCAGCACGCACAUCUUUUCUCUAUUUUCUCAGUUACAUUCCUCCACAUCCCAUUACUGAUCCUUUUAUCAUGUACUGGUAGGCCUAGGUAUUUCAGUGGCAUCUCCCCAAACGCACACGUAAAAAUCUCUUAAUAUAUAUCUUUCUGCCUUAGCUUCUCCAAAGAGGUAUAUGCCACUUUUGUGAAAAUUAAUUGUGAGUCCUGACAUUUGUUCAAAAGCAGUCAGAAUAAAUUUGAGAUUUCUCGCUGACACCUCAUCAUCCUGGAUUAGGAAUAUGGUGUCAUCUGCAUAUUGCAGCAUGUUCACUCCAUUUUCAUGAUUGUAUGUGAGAACCCCUUUAAUAAAUCCCUUAUUUCUAGCUCUGUCCAUAAUAAUGGCCAGGGCGUCAAUAGCUAAAUCAAACAAUAGGGGGGAUAAUGAGUCCCCCUGGCGAAGCCCUUUAAAAGUUUUAAAAAACUUUCCAAUAUUGUCAUUUACCUUCACACCCACUUGUCCCCCCCUCAUGGUGUCCAUCACCCAGUCACACCACUUGCAGGAAAGUUUUUGAGUUUCAGCAUUUUAUGGACAAAAGGCCAUUUGAUUUUGUCAUAUGCAUUUUCAAAAUCUACCUUCAAUAUUAUAGCAUUUUGUUUUUUCAUUUUGAUUGAAUUUAUAGCUUCAUGUAGGAUCACCACUCCCUCCAUAAUGUAUCUGCCUUUCACAAAAGCAGUUUGAAUGGGGGAGAUGAUGGGGUUAACAACCUUACUAAGCCUGUUCAUCAGGACUUUAGUGAUGAUUUUGAAGCUGACAUUCAACAGGCAAAUGGGUCUGAAUUUCUGGAUCUGUUUGGCAUCUUGACCUUUGGGACCAAGGUAAUGAUCCCAUAAUUCAACCUAGCUAAAUCAACCACACCUCUGUGGAAAUCAUCCAUAAUGUUUUUUAUAUCAUUCUUGAUUAAAUCCCAGAAGUUCUGAUAGAAUUCAAUAGCAAAUCCAUCAGGGCCUGGGCUUUUGUUUUUUUUCCAUGGAGAACACCACUUCCCUAAUCUCUUCCAUGGAGAAGUCCUUAACCAAUUCAUCUUGUGUUUGAGGAGAGAUCUCUGCAGACCCUUGUAUGUUAAGAUUGAUAGUAGAGUUUUCAGCUUGAUCAAAAAGAUUUUUAUAGAAUGUAGUGAUAUACUCAAUCAGUUCUUUCUCUCCCUGAAUCACACCCUCAUCCUGUUCUAACCUGACAAUCCUGUUCUUCUCCUCCCAUUCACUUUGGCAUGAUAAUAUCUAGUAUUGGAAUCUCCUUUUAUUUCCUUAUCUUUGUAUCUCUGUAACCACUUGAUUUCUUCUAAUUUGAAGAUUUCUUUCAAUUCCCUUCUCAAUUAUUUCUGCAUAAUUCUUUCUUGGGCAUUAAUCCCUCUCAAUUCUGCAUUUUUAUCUAUCAUGUCCAGCAUAUUUAACAGUUCCUUCUUUCUUUUCCUAUACAUAGCAUUAGCAUUUAACCCACCCUUUGAUUUUUUGUCUAACGUUUCUGAGUAUUUUUUGCCAAGUGUCCAUACUAGAUCCAUUACACCUCACCUCCCAGUUUUUUUCCACAAAUUCCUUAAAUCCUUCCAUAUGCAUCCAUGCAUUUUCAAAUCUAAAAAUGGGAGGAGCAUUUCUCUGCUCACCAGAAUCCAACAGCAGUGGAGUGUGAUCUGAAAUCUCUCUCUCUAAUGUUGUGACCAUAGUCAUGGGGUAUUUAUCUUCCCAAUCUGGGCAUACCAAUACCCUAUCAAGUUUCUCAUAUGUAGGGUCUGGCAUAUUAUUUGCCCAAGUGAAUUGUCUCCCACUGAUUGGGAUGUCUCUUAAUCCAGCAUGUUCAAUAAUAGCAUUAAAAACAAAGCUGAAGUGAUCCACCCCAGGUUUAUUUUUCUCUGCACUGUUUCUAAUGAUAUUGAAAUCCCCCCAAUGACACAGGGGAGAGGGUUAUCUUGAUACAAUCUAGAUAAUUCAGCUAAAAAAGAUGCUUUCCCUUUUCUUUGAGCAUCACCAUAGACAGUCACCAAGUUCCAACUAAACUUAGCUUUUUUUAUCAAAAAGUAGUGUUCUGAUAAAAUAUGUGCCUUUUUCCACUUGUAUCAAGUCAAAAUUAUCAUUAUUAAUUCUUACCAAUAUUCCUCCAGAUUUGCCUCGAGGGGCAAUCCAUUCCCAGAGAAAAAAAAUUCCCCCCAGCAAGGUUGUGCAAUUCAUUUUUUGUAAAGUCACCCUUAAUGGUCUCCAAAAGGCCAACAAAAUCUAAUUUUUUUUCUAUGAUUGCCUCUCUGAUAAAGUUUUUCUUUGUGUCCUGUCUAAUCCCCCUCACAUUCCAAAAUAUUCCUUUCAUUGUUUCUUUUUCUUCUUUCUCCCUCCCCUAAAAGAUAUAGCAAGCUUCCCAGCACUAGCAGCUGAGGUGCCAAUCUUAAUUUUUCUUAUUACUAGAGAAUAUUUUCCUCAAGGUGUCAUAGUAAUCAAGAUCCAUUUCUGUAUCAGAGUGAUCAUCACCUGAGCAUAGUUCUUCUAGUUUAGCAUCUCCAAUAUCAAUUAGAUUUGGAGAACUUUCAUUUUUUUCUUUUUCCUCUUGAUGAUAUAUAUCUCUUCUACCCUGUUCCAUAUUGGAGAUCAGGUCUAGGUUUUGGCUGACCAGGUCAAUAGUACACCCCAGCUCCACCCCCACUUUCUCUGUCAUUUCAAACAAAGAGAUUUGAUCCUUAGUAAGGGUUGGGGACUUACCAUAGUUAUCCUUGUCAGCAGCUCUCUCCUUAGCCAGAUCUUCAAUCUUGGAGUCCUUUUUGUCUAGAUUUCUGUCACUUCUUCUGGUUGGUCCUUCUUUGUCUUUUUCUUUCUUCUCUUUAUCAGAGAUCCCCAGUUUUGAUCCCAGAGAUUCCACAGAAUCCUGGCUAGCAUUAUAAUCCACUGGUUCAGUGUAAUUGUCUUCUAUCAGAGGAUCUUGAAUAUUAUCUUUAUCAGAGUCAUUUUUCUCUCCAGGGAGAUGUUUUCUUUGUUUCCUUCAGCAUCUACUCCACCAAUCUUGAUCUUUUUCCUCAUGUCUGCAGUUUCACAUUCUCUGUCUGUUUCAACAUCCACAUGUUUCCUCUUAUCUUCAUACCACCCCUGUUCCACCACUUUUUCAAGUUCCAAGGUGACUUUGUAUAUCAUGAGGUCUUUGUCAGUUACUUCAGUAUGUGUAGGAAUUUUUUCAAAAUCUCUCACUCCUACCCUGGCUCUGAUUUUUUCCAGCAAAAUUGUUGUCAUAUCUAUCUCCAGGACUAGGCCAACAGUGGCAGCUACUAAACAAGCCCCAAAAAAUGUCUGAAACACUCAGGCAUUUUGCCAAUUUUCACCCACACAGUGUGCAACUUUCCUAUGGCUUGUGUAUCAUAGGUCCAACUAUCCACAUUUAUGAUAGCCUUUGUCCCCAGCAGGUUAAAGUUUCUAAACUUGUGUAAUUCAGUCAGUCUGCUCUUGUUGGGGAACCUCAUGAGAUAAGCCCUGUCUCCAUGUUUUUGCAUCUCCAUUGCCAGUCCCAUUUGAACAUGUAGUUAAACCCCUCCAAGAAUUGUGUCUCAUUGAUCUCCCCAGAGGCAAUAGUGACAAUUCCCAUCGGGUUAAUCUGCUCACUACUCACCACCUCCUUGGAAUUUUGAACCAAGAGCACUCCCAAACCUCUGGCUGCAUAUCCAACAUAUUUAGGCAGGGGCUUAAUCUGUUUCAUCCAGUUGCAAUCUUCAGUGAUGUGAGAAUUUUUUCCACACAUGAUACAGUUAGGAAGCUUGCAAUCUCUAGUUUGAUGUCUGAAAUCUUUGCACUUGUUACAGGGAAUUCUGAAGUUGUUCCCACUUUUUCCUAGAUCAGGGCCUUCUCUCUGUGGAAAUCUGCUUCCCCCCCCCAAGCGCUUUGGUUUUGCCUGGAUCCAGAACCAUUAUCCAUAUCUCCUCCGCAGCUAACCUCUCUGCUUUGUAUCCCUUUCUCUCUCUCACCCUCAAUCAUCAUCCCCUCCUCUCGCUGCUUGUCAGCUCCAGUUACCAUGCCAACCCCCUGCUGUGCCAUCUGGGCAAGGAGAGCCCCAAACCACUGUUGCUGUUGAAGAAAUUCAGGAGGGGGAAUGACACCAGGGGCAGGAUCUUUACCUUUGUCCUCAGAUCCGGCUCUGUUAGCCUCUGGCUUGCCCCCCCCUCUAUCUUUGUCUUCUGUAGUUCUACCAGCAUCUGGGAGCUGCGUCCUGCCUCCAUUCCCCUGGUAGCUAGAAGUCCAAUGGUGGAUCUUGAACUACCAAUCUGAGAGAAAGUGCCUUUGUAUCUGUCCACAUCUUCUUCUUUCUUUCUGUAAUGGAAGCCAUCUCUACCACCACGGUUGAAUCUUCCCCCUCCACGAUUGUUCCCAAAACAUCUGUUCAUCUCUUCUACUUUCUCUCUUUCUGGUGGCGGCGGAAGAGGUGGAAACCCUAAAUCCUCGAGGGGGUCACACUCUUCACCCCAUAGGGAGAGGCGCUUUAUUUAUAUUGCCAAAACUUUCAGAAAGCGUAUUUACCAAAGGCGUUUCUCCCCGUUGCCCAUUUUGCCCCCAUAUCUCACUUUCCCCAAAUUCUCCUUCUCUGGCAGAGUAAUCCCCCACACAACAACCCAAGCCAUUGGUGAUUUCCAUUUCCUCUAUAUAGUUUGCCUCAUUAGACCAGAAAUCUGGAAUUUGGGCAUAUUUAAUUCUACUCAUUUUAUUAACAACCUCCCUUCCCAGUAAAACCUGAUCAGGGGCGAGCAUCUCUCUCUGUUUUCCCAUGAGCAGGGCUGUUAACACACUUCUCAUCACUACUUUCUAUGAUUUUUGCAGCUAUCAGCCGCUUUUUUUUCUUCUUAUUAUUACUUCUAUUAUCACCUAUCGAUGUAGGUUCACUGCCAUAUUUGGAAAUAGGGGGGAUCGUACCUUGCAGAUCCAACGGGAGCCCAAGUCUCCUCGUCGGAAACCUCACCGGCGAGCAGCCAGAAGCGGCCGCCCACCGGCGAGGCCCCUACUCCCGUCCCUGGGAGCGAGCGAGACCGAGCAGGCGUGGGAAACGGCGAGGGAAGCGCGGUGACCUCCUCAGAACCAACGGCAUCUUCUGGAUCUUCUUCGUCCCAAGCUUCAUCCCCCUCCUGCCCUCGGCGCGCCCCAAAUCUGGCCGCCUCUCCACCACUGCAGCCCUGGGCACAACCGGAGCUGGGGCGGGGAGACCCAUCACCGCGCCGACCACAAAUCCAGGUGGAUCCGCAGGGACGGUGCGACGCGAACGAAACGCGAUCCACUUCAUGGCCUGCAUCUGAUCGUCUGAUUCCGCCUCCUUCAUCGCCCACAACAGCAUCCGGAGCGCCCCCACCGGCUCGCCUGACGGAGUGAGGCGCCAGUCCUCCGCCUCGGUGAGCCUCCGGUAGGCACACCCCGCCGCCUCCUUCAGAUUGCUCUCCGUCGAGAACCUGGAGAUGAUCUCCCUCAGCUUCGCCAGCUUCUCUUCGUCGCCGUUGGCUAUCACCAGAACCCUCCUCUCGAGUCUCUGCUUCCAGGAAUCCAUGACCCCGCCUUCGGAGAGCUCGCUCGUGAGAGAGAAGGGAGGUGGUUUUCGUCGAGAGGGGAGGGAAUGGCCGCUCCGCUCCGUGCCGCAACUUUAAUCCGCCUCCCUUCCCGACGUUCUCUCUCCUCCGCCUCGAUCUGCGCUUCACGCCGCGCCUCCGCCUCGGGACUCAAUCCCCUGCCGACCAAAACAACAUGACAUGGAAACCGCACCUGUGUCCCCUCCCCAUGUACCCGCAUCGAGUCGACCCGUACGCCGCGGUCGUCGAGGAGGGAACACCGGGGAGUCACCGCGUCGGAGUAGGAUGCCCCGCUCGUAGAUCUUUCCUUAACAUAUACUCCCUCCGUCCAGAAAAAGUUGUCUAGCGCUUAGUUCAUUUCUAAUUUUGCAAAAAAAAAACUUCCAUCUUCAAAUCUCUUGCUAAUGAGCCCCCCUGCUUCUUCCUCCUUUCUCUGUCGGCCGCGUGCACCGUGGCCGCCCAAGCCACCAUUGGCACCCGUCGUAGGCCGAGCGCGUGACGACGGCCACGGCCUGCGCUGCCGCUGUGAACCACCACCGCCCAUGCCCACCUGCGCCGCCCGAGGCGAGCUGCUCCACUGCUGUGAACCACCGCCGCCCGAGGCGAGCUGCGCCGUCCACCUGCUCCACUGCGGCGACCACCUCGACGGGCGGCGGCUCCACGGCUGAGGGGCGCUGCGCUACCGCCAUCUUCUCCCGCCGUGACCCCUUCCGCCGCCCAGGGCUACCCCGCUAUCCCCUCCCGCCGGCCAGGGCCUGCGCCCGCCUGGGUCUCGAGCGCCUGGACCUGGAGCUCCUGGCGGGCCUGGAACUGAAGUUCAUCCUCAACCUCGAGCUCCCUGUCGUCUCCCCCACUCCUCUCCUCGACCUGCUGCUCGUCUGCAAGUUGCUGUUCCUCCCCGGCGGGCCUGCUCGUGCUGCUGCCGGUGAGAAGAAGAACCCAAGCUCCAAUUUCUGUACAUUGCACUUGUUCAUUAAUUUCAAACACAAUUGAUCAUGUACUCUGCAGAAAUGUUGCAAAAAAGAUUUAGUUAACACAGAAGUUAACUGAAUGUGUCCCUCAAUGUCCAAUGUUCAUCAGUUAACUGAACGUUAACAGAACUAAACUGAAUCUUUGGAUAAUUUCUGAUCCUCACCUAGAGUAUAAGCAAUUUCUGAUCUACUGUUACUGUGGAUUAAGUUGGAUUAAGUUGGAUAUUGUUGGACUAACAUGAUUUUCUAGACAUAGCCCUAAAAUUUCUACACACUGAUUUGACAAGCAAUAUUCCAUUACAGAGAACAUUUACACUGAAAGUAGAACAUUUACACUGAAAAAUUGGACCCCCAAGAAACUGUAUUCAGUGAUCUUGUACUCUGAAAGUAGAACAUUUACACUGAAGCUUCAAACAAAAUUUCAGUGAUCUUGUACUCAGUUUAGUGGCAAUCAGACUUGAGAUGCAAAACUAAAGCUUCGAAACUGAAACAAUGACAAAAUUACUUGCCACAUCAUGAAACAAAUGACAAAAUUACUUGAAAAGGAUUACUCCAUUUAUCUACCUCUGUCAUGAAAGGAGUACUAGACAGCAGCAAUAGUACACCAAGUACUGCCGGCCGCCCUCUAACUAAUUCAUUCAUGGAUGAUUUUAAUCACUGACUCAUCCUGCUAGAUCCAUCACUAAAACUAAUUAGUAAUUUGAUUUAUCUAACAUUUGUUAGUUGAGAAUAAAUGUUCACUCUUAUCUCACAUUUGCUAGUUGAAAUGCAUAAAUUCAGUUGUUCAAGUUUCAAUCUAAGCUAGAAUUUCCAGUUUACACACAGAUGUUGUCAGGCCAAGUGUGAUGCCCUAGUGAGACUGAGGUUGCGGCCUAUUAGGUAAAAAUAGGAUGAGCUACUAAAGAAAUUUGCCAAUUAGCCCAUUGUGUCCCCAAGUGUGAUCACACAGAUGUUGUCAGGCCAAGUGUGAUCCCCUAGUGAGAUUUGUCUGCCAUGUUUUGCUAACUGAAGAAAUACCAGUUGGCCGGCAUGCAGUCUUAAGCAAAUGUCAGAAGCAGCAAAUUUCAGUAAAAAAAAAUCAGUUUUGACACAUAAAUCAUGGAGGGGAAUUGAAGGAGGGAGGCUUAACCUUCCAAGAAGACGCCACCGUCGUCGUCGAGCUCGCAGUACAGUAUGUGCAGGGAUGGUGGAGCUCGCAGUACAGAAGACGUCUCCGCCGCCGUCGAGCUCGCCAUCGAGCUUGCUGUCGUCGGGCUCGUCGGCUACGUCUCCUACCGUCUGGCCUCGCAGCCACCAUAUCAGCCUCGCCGACGCCGGAUCUGAAGCAGACGGAGCAGAGCGCGGAGGUCACUAGGGAGGGGGAAGCUAGGGGAGGAAGGCAAGCUGGAGCUGCGCGAGCAGGAGAGAGUGGCGGAGGAGGCAGUUACGGCGGCGGUGAGCUGUGGCGGUGGUGGAGCAAGGCAGUUGCGGCUUCUGUCGGGGGAGGUCAGAAAAAUCAAGGCUUCUCCUCGCCCGGGGAAGCGACGCGUCGGAGGAGGAGGGGA